GUCUCAGUAGCUCAAUUGGUAAGAGCGUCGCAUGCCUAAUGCGAAGACGUGGGCUCGAAUCCCACCUGCGACA